rnacentral:rRNA from 1 species
GAUGAACGCUGGCGGCGUGCCUAAUACAUGCAAGUCGAGCGAAUGGAUUAAGAGCUUGCUCUUAUGAAGUUAGCGGCGGACGGGUGAGUAACACGUGGGUAACCUGCCCAUAAGACUGGGAUAACUCCGGGAAACCGGGGCUAAUACCGGAUAACAUUUUGAACCGCAUGGUUCGAAAUUGAAAGGCGGCUUCGGCUGUCACUUAUGGAUGGACCCGCGUCGCAUUAGCUAGUUGGUGAGGUAACGGCUCACCAAGGCAACGAUGCGUAGCCGACCUGGGAGGGUGAUCGGCCAAACUGGGACUGAGACACGGCCCAGACUCCUACGGGAGGCAGCAGUAGGGAAUCUUCCGCAAUGGACGAAAGUCUGACGGAGCAACGCCGCGUGAGUGAUGAAGGCUUUCGGGUCGUAAAAUUCUGUUGUUAGGGAAGAACAAGUGCUAGUUGAAUAAGCUGGCACCUUGACGGUACCUAACCAGAAGGCCACGGCUAACUACGUGCCAGCCGCCGCCGUAA